rnacentral:rRNA from 1 species
AGAGUGAACGCUGGCGGUAGGCCUAACACAUGCAAGUCGAACGGCAGCACAGUAGGAGCUUGCUCUUACGGGUGGCGAGUGGCGGACGGGUGAGGAAUACAUCGGAAUCUACCUUUUGGUGGGGGAUAACGUAGGGAAACUUACGCUAAUACCGCAUACGCCCUUCGGGGGAAAGCCGGGGACCAGCAAUGGCCUGGCGCUGAUAGAUGAGCCGAUGUCGGAUUAGCUAGUUGGUGAGGUAAUGGCUCACCAAGGCGACGAUCCGUAGCUGGUCUGAGAGGAUGAUCAGCCACACUGGAACUGAGACACGGUCCAGACUCCUACGGGAGCAGCAGUGGGGAAUA